AUUCAACCGACGAGUCCCAAAUAGGACGAAACGCGUGUCCUGGAU
rfam:Schistosoma mattheei strain Denwood, Zambia genome assembly, scaffold: SMTD_scaffold0006195